CUAAGGGCGUACGGUGGAUGCCUUGGCUUGAAGAGGCGAAGAAAGACGUGGCACGACUGCGAAAAGCUUCGGGGAGGUGUCUAGCAACCUUUGAUCCGGAGAUGUCUGAAUGGGGAAACCCGUCCGAGUAAACCUCGGUCACCCCGCCUAGGCGGGGAGCAAACCCAGGGAAUUGAAACAUCUUAGUACCUGGAGGAAAAGAAACCAAUAUGCGGAUUUUUUACUGUGUUGGCGAUGUUUGCCGAUACGGUAAAAAAUCCUGGCAUUUCCUUAGUAGCGGCGAGCGAAACGGAAGAAGCCCAAACCAGUUCUUUCGGGAACUGGGGUUGUAGGGUAGUGACUUCUUAACGAGAAGAGUCAAAAAAUGUAUUUGUUAGUGGAACGUGCUGGAAAGUGCGGCCCCAGAGGGUAAUAGCCCCGUACAUGAAAACAAAUACGUCUCUUUUGUCACUAUUCCUGAGUAGCGUGGGACAUGAAUAGCCUGCGUGAAUCCGGGUGGACUAACACCCAAGGCUAAAUACUCUUCAAGACCGAUAGUGAACUAGUACCGUGAGGGAAAGGUGAAAAGAACCCCGGCGAGGGGAGUGAAAUAGAUCUGAAACCAUAUGCUUACAA
rnacentral:rRNA from 1 species